UACGGGGGGGAGCAAGCAUUGUUCGGAUUUACUGGGCGUAAAGGGCGCGUAGGCGGCCAGCACAAGUCAGUUGUGAAAUCUCCGGGCUUAACUCGGAAAGGUCAACUGAUACUGUGCGGCUAGAGUGCAGAAGGGGCAACUGGAAUUCUCGGUGUAGCGGUGGAAUGCGCAGAUAUCAGGAGGAACACCGGUGGCGAAGGCGGGUCUCUGGGCCGAUACUGACGCUGAGGAGCGAAAGCGUGGGGAGCGAACAGG
rnacentral:rRNA from 1 species